rnacentral:rRNA from 1 species
AUUGAACGCUGGCGGCAGGCCUAACACAUGCAAGUCGAGCGGAUGAAGGGAGCUUGCUCCUGGAUUCAGCGGAGGACGGGUGAGUAAUGCCUAUGAAUCUGCCUGGUAGUGGGGGAUAACGUCCGGAAACGGGCGCUAAUACCGCAUACGUCCUGAGGGAGAAAGUGGGGGAUCUUCGGACCUCACGCUAUCAGAUGAGCCUAGGUCGGAUUAGCUAGUUGGUGGGGUAAAGGCCUACCAAGGCGACGAUCCGUAACUGGUCUGAGAGGAUGAUCAGUCACACUGGAACUGAGACACGGUCCAGACUCCUACGGGAGGCAGCAGUGGGGAAUAUUGGACAAUGGGCGAAAGCCUGAUCCAGCCAUGCCGCGUGUGUGAAGAAGGUCUUCGGAUUGUAAAGCACUUUAAGUUGGGAGGAAGGGCAGUAAGUUAAUACCUUGCUGUUUUGACGUUACCAACAGAAUAAGCACCGGCUAACUUCGUG